UACGAAGGGGGCUAGCGUUGUUCGGAAUUACUGGGCGUAAAGCGCGCGUAGGCGGUUUUCCAAGUCAGUGGUGAAAGCCCGGAGCUCAACUCCGGAAAUGCCAUUGAAACUGUAAAACUUGAGGACGAGAGAGGUGAGUGGAAUUCCCAGUGUAGAGGUGAAAUUCGUAGAUAUUGGGAAGAACACCGGUGGCGAAGGCGGCAUCCUGGACCGAUACUGACGCUGAGGAGCGAAAGCCAGGGGAGCAAACGGG
rnacentral:rRNA from 1 species